rnacentral:misc_RNA from 1 species
AAACAGACUGAGGAGAAGGUAAAGUUAAUCAAAGCCAAUCUGAAAGUUGCCUCAGAUACACAGAAAUCUUAUGCCGACUUAAUGAGAAAAGAGAUAGAGUAUGAAGUUGGAGAUAAGGUGUUUCUCAAAGUCUCACCAUGGAAAAAUGUAUUGAUGUUUAGAAGAAAGGGUAAGUUGAGCCCUAAGUUCAUUAGCCCAUAUGAAGUCAUUGAACGUG